GACGAACGCUGGCGGCGUGCUUAACACAUGCAAGUCGAACGGAAAGGCCUCUUUCGGGGGGUACUCGAGUGGCGAACGGGUGAGUAACACGUGAGUAACCUGCCCUUGACUUUGGGAUAACUUCAGGAAACUGGGGCUAAUACCGGAUAGGAGCUCCUGCUGCAUGGUGGGGGUUGGAAAGUUUCGGCGGUUGGGGAUGGACGCGCGGCUUAUCAGCUUGUUGGUGGGGUAGUGGCUUACCAAGGCUUUGACGGGUAGCCGGCCUGAGAGGGUGACCGGCCACAUUGGGACUGAGAUACGGCCCAGACUCCUACGGGAGGCAGCAGUGGGGAAUAUUGCACAAUGGGUGGAAGCCUGAUGCAGCAACGCCGUGUGCGGGAUGACGGCCUUCGGGUUGUAAACCGCUUUCGCUCAUGACGAAGCUUUGUGUGACGGUAGUGGGUAAAGAAGCACCGGCUAACUACGUG
rnacentral:rRNA from 1 species